GAUGAACGCUGGCGGCGUGCCUAAUACAUGCCAGUCGAGCGAACAGACGAGGAGCUUGCUCCUCUGACGUUAGCGGCGGACGGGUGAGUAACACGUGGAUAACCUACCUAUAAGACUGGGAUAACUUCGGGAAGCCGGAGCUAAUACCGGAUAAUAUAUUGAACCGCAUGGUUCAAUAGUGAAAGACGGUUUUGCUGUCACUUAUAGAUGGAUCCGCGCCGCAUUAGCUAGUUGGUAAGGUAACGGCUUACCAAGGCAACGAUGCGUAGCCGACCUGAGAGGGUGAUCGGCCACACUGGAACUGAGACACGGUCCAGACUCCUACGGGAGGCAGCAGUAGGGAAUCUUCCGCAAUGGGCGAAAGCCUGACGGAGCAACGCCGCGUGAGUGAUGGAGGUCUUCGGAUCGUAAAACUCUGUUAUUAGGGAAGAACAAAUGUGUAAGUAACUAUGCACGUCUUGACGGUACCUAAUCAGAAAGCCACGGCUAACUACGUG
rnacentral:rRNA from 1 species